GCAAAGCCCUCACAUUGGGAAGUUCUGCGUUGUGUCUAACUUGAUUCUCCAUGAUUGAAGCCCAUUAUUUCUCCCUUCUCAUCUUUCACAUCUUUGCAUAUGGUGGAACCCAUCUCUAAUGCUGGUGUUAUAGAGACCUGUUCAUGAUGUUCAAGUUCCAGAAGAAGGAAGUUGGAAGAUCCGGCAACAUUUAGUCGACAGUCUUGGAUAUCAGUAAUGGAGCGGAGCUGUGUAGGAGCUGUGUACCUAAGAUAUGUAGCUGGGCAAGUCCAGGCCUUGUAGACCUGUGGGGUGCAGUCCAACAACUGGCGGAGCAGCCAGGAGACCGAGGAAACCCCCGAGAGCGCCGAGAUGUUGGAAAACAAGGACGGGGAAUGGAAAGUUGCAGGGGCUGAAAGGUCCCGGGGUAGCCAUCCCCUCGUAUGCGGGGCCCUGUGGUGGCUGUCCUUGAGGGAUGGGGGCCACCAAGAGAGUGAAGUCCCUGGUGUGGUACCACAGUGAGUCUUGUUACCAGGUUGGCUUUUAUCUUGGGUGUGUGCGAGUGCCUUGUCCACGAAUGCAAGUCCUGUUCUCUUUUUCUGGUUUUGACCUUUAUCAAAGGGUCCUAGUUGUUUGAAUGCUGAUUCAUGUUUUUCUGAAGGUGAGGCAAGUGAAUGUGCCAACCUGAUGUCAUUGCCCCUAUAACUGGUAACCUACGUACCCUCCUUCCCGGCCAGGAGUGAAAACUGCCUCCUGGCACAGAGGGGCGUUGCUCCAGGACUUUGCUUCAGCCGUGUAAGAUCCCUCAUCCAUUAAAUCAUUGAUGUCUCUGUCACUGACUCCAGGCUUUUUGUUUGGACUUGAGGUUGGGCAAGUACAGGCCCUGAAGGCCUAUGGGGUAUAGCCGGACCGUUCCCCUGGCUCACCACCCUCCCAGCACUUCUACAUAUUCUGCCACCUGGAGGCACCCAGGACCCCAAACUAUCGCUUAUGUAUGGAGCCUUCAUUACUUAGGCAUGGUUGAUCAAAUCAUUGGCCAUUCAUGAUUAACUCAACCUCAAGCCCUUCUCCUUUCCUUGGAGGUCAGGUCAGGGGCUGAAAGUUCCAGCCCUCUAAAACGUUGGUCCCCCUGGCAACCAGCUGCCAUCCUAAGGGGUUUUCCAAUAGUCACCUCAUUAACAAACUCAGGUGUGGUUUAUAGGGAUUAGUGAUGAAUAACAAAAGAUGGUCCUUUCCCCUUUAAUUCUCUUUUGCUGCUACUGCUAAGUCGCUUCAGUCGUGUCCGACUCUGUGCGACCCCACAGACGGCAGCCCACCAG